rnacentral:rRNA from 1 species
UAGGGCACGACACCGGAGAGGGAGCCUGAGAAACGGCUACCACAUCCAAGGAUGGCAGCAGGCGCGCAAAUUACCCAAUCCCGACACGGGGAGGUAGUGACAAUAAAUAACAAUACGGGGUUCUUUCGGAUUUCGUAAUUGGAAUGAGUACAAUUUAAAUCUCUUAACGAGGAACAAUUGGAGGGCAAGUCUGGUGCCAGCAGCCGCGGUAAUUCCAGCUCCAAUAGCGUAUAUUAAAGUUGUUGCAGUUAAAAAGCUCGUAGUUGAAUUUCGGGACCAUCAUGUCGGUCGUGCCUCGGUACGUACUGGCAUUGUUGGUUUCUCCCUUCUGACGAACCAUGAUGUCAUUUAUUUGGUGUUGUGGGAAAUCAGGACUGUUACUUUGAAAAAAUUAGAGUGUUUAAAGCAGGCUCACGCUUGAAUACAUUAGCAUGGAAUAAUGAAAUAGGACGUUUGAUUCUAUUUUGUUGGUUUCUAGGAUCGACGUAAUGAUUAAUAGGGAUAGUUGGGGGCAUUAGUAUUCAAUUGUCAGAGGUGAAAUUCUUGGAUUUAUUGAAGACUAACUACUGCGAAAGCAUUUGCCAAGGAUGUUUUCAUUAAUCAAGAACGAAAGUUAGGGGAUCGAAGACGAUCAGAUACCGUCGUAGUCUUAACCAUAAACUAUGCCGACUAGGGAUCGGAUGAUGUUAAUUUUUUAAUGACUCAUUCGGCGCCYUACGGAACCUG